rnacentral:tRNA from 1 species
GUCCCUAUAGUUCAAUGGAUAGAAUAAAAACCUCCUAAGUUUUAGAUUCAGGUUCGACUCCUGAUGGGGACACCA